GUCUGGGGCCUGAAUCCUAGGGAAGCCAUAGCAGCUCCUCCACCCUUCCUCUCACUCCUCCUCUAGCCUCUUGCUACUCCCCGCACCACUGUUUUAGGGAACCUCUAUCUCCCGACGGCCUGCCACGGGCCAGGCGCUGUGCUGGGGGCUUCACACUUUAAAUCGCUGUUGAGCGGGGCGCGGGGGCGCUGCAACCUAAAGGUGGGAGCUACUCAAAUGGAGGGGCAUCUGUUAAAAUGGCCGGCCUGUCAUUUUCAAAAACUUCAAGGCCGGGCGCGGUGGCUCACGCCUGUAAUCCCAGCACUUUGGGAGGCCGAGGCGGGCGGAUCACGAGGUCAGGAGAUCGAGAUCAUCUUGUCUAACACGGUGAAACUUCAUCUCUACUAAAAAUAGAAAAAAUUAGCCGGGCGUGGUGGCGGGCGCCUGUAAUCCCAGCCUCCCAAGUAGCUGCGAUUACAGGUGUGUGCCACCACUCCCCAUUCAUUGAUUAAGGAUUAUUUUGAGCUGGCCAGGCGUGGUGGCACAUGCCUGUAAUCCCAGCACUUGGGGAGGCCACUGUGGGGGGAUUGCUUGAGCUCAGGAGUUCCAGACCAGCUUGGGCAACGUGGUGAAACCUUGUCUCUACAAAAAAUACAAAAUAUAAAAAAUUUGCCAGGCAUGGUGGUGCAUGUCUAUAAUCCCAGCUACUUGGGAGGCUGAGGCAGGAGGAUUGCUUGAGCCCAGGAGAUUGAGGUUGCAGACCACUACACUCCAGCCUGGGAAACAGAGUGAGACUCUGUCUCAAAAAAAAGGAUUAUUUUGGGAUAAAGGCACUUUAAAAACAAACAAACAAAAUCAGGUGCAAAAAGGUUGCUGUGGGUUGGGCAUGGUCGCUCAGGCCUGUCAUCCCAGCACUUUGGGAGGCAAAGGCAGGCAGACCACCUGAGGUCAGGAGUUCGAGACCAGCCUGACCAACUUGGAGAAACCUCAUCUCUACUAAAAAUACAAAAUUAUCCGGGCGUGGUGGCGCAUGCCUGUAAUCCCAGCUACUAGGGAGGCUGAGGUAGGAGAAUUGCGUGAACCUGGGAGGCAGAGGUUGCAGUGAGCCUCUGACCUUCUUUUUUUCUUCCUGAAAGCAAGAGAUGAAAUUCCAUAUGGAAGACUUUUCUCUAUACGAGGAGAAAAUUAGCAUUCCUUUCAUCCAUGGCAGGAAGUUGAAGCCAAAAUAAAUCUGUACAAACAAAGCUUGUUAAAGCCAGCUCUUCCUAGUCUCU
rnacentral:sRNA from 1 species